rnacentral:lncRNA from 1 species
AUGCAAAUGAGAUCAGUCACUCUUUGUGAAUCCUCCAGCCUCUCUGCCUCUGCUUCCAUGUUCUCCUUAGCAGUGAAACCACUCAGAAAGCAGGUGUCUGACCCAAGGAAAGGUCAAGCCAAAGCCUUGCUUCCUCUGGAAGAGGCAGCAGCUGAGUCCAACCCUCGCACUGACAACCUCUGGGAGCGUUUGGGAAGGCACUCAUUUCACAGCGUAAUGUCAGAGCAAACAAAACUACCUACUAGAAACUGAAAAACAUAAAAGGCAAUAGCGUUCAACUGCUACUGAGAAAUCCAAGUACAAUGUCAUCAUUCCUUUUUUAAAUGAGUGGCCAAGAUUUCUCCAGGACAAGGUAAUUGUAAUACUUCUCAAUUUGAGGCAUAUCUGCUAGAUUCAUGCACCAAACCAACCAUGAGCCACUCUGAAUAAAGUCUUGUUUGUAUGUGAAGGAGACAUGUCUUACUGGUUUUAUUGAUAAAAUUAUGAAAUCUAUUCCGAAGGACUAUGUAGAAAUGUGUUUACUUUGCUAAACAGGUGGUUCAAUAGAAAAAUUUGUGCUUAUUUUUUAAAUCUAAUCAUGAGUGAAAUAUUUUUUUUAUUUUUUAAAUAUAUAUAUUUAUUGGUACAUUUUAGGUAUAAAAUACAUUUACAUUUAUCAUUGGGUGUUUGUACCAGAACAUGAUGCAUCUUAGUUUUUAUUUUUUCUCACAUUACCUGUGCACCCUUCACCCCCUCCACCCUUCCCUAUCUACACAGAGUUUGAUUCCUUUUUUUUUUCUCAUAAUUUUUUUCUUUCCCUUCUUCCCUUUUCCCUUUCCCUUCCACCAUCCCCAAAUUCUUGGACCUUUUCUUAUUUCAACUUAUCAAUUAUUCAUUUUAAUCAUUUUCAUCCUUAUUUACACUUUCAAUUUCUCAUACUAGAGAAACUAUUCAGUAUUUACAUAUGUGUGUCCUAUUUAUUAUGAGUGAAAUAUAUUAAUAUAAGUAAAAUAUUUUGUUAGGUUCGACCUGGAAAGAAAGGUGGGAUUUUU